ACAAAUAAAUAACUAUACAUGAGUGUGGACAGGCGAAGACUCCACCAGCACCCUUAAUAAUAGGGAGCAACAUCUCCCCGCAAAUUACCACAGGAGGUUCCUAGAGGAUAGUGCAGUGGUUUAAGCCUGGCCACAGCUGGUACCCACAGGAAAUAUUCAGAGCCUCAAUUUAGCUAUUAAAGACAUUAAAUCUCUUUUAGCCUGGGGGAAAACAACUCUCACCCUUAAAGCUGGAUUUGGGCUUCUAACUCCUGGAUUCAUCUGGGUGAAGCCUAGUGAGGAUGAGACAGAGGUUUUUCCUUUAAUGAUGGAGUUAACUAGGAUGAACCAGGGAGCGUUAUGGUCCUAAAGUCAAGGAAUGGGCUUUCAGAUGGAAAGGACUUGCCUUGUCUUCAAUGAGACUUUGGACUGUGGACUUUUGAGUUAAUGCAAAAAUGAGUUAAGUCUUUGGGGGACUGUUGGAAAGGCAUGAUUGGUUUUGAAAUGUGAAGACAUGAAAUUUUGGAGGGGCCGGGGUAGAAUGAUAUGAUUUGGCUGUGUCCCCACCCAAAUCUCGUCUUGAAUUCCCACGUGUUGUGGGAAGGAUCCAGUG
ensembl:lncRNA novel transcript